UACGGAGGGUGCAAGCGUUAUCCGGAUUCACUGGGCUUAAAGGGUGCGCAGGUGGUCUGGUAAGACAGUGGUGAAAUCUCCGGGCUUAACCCGGAAACUGCCAUUGAUACUAUCAGUCUUGAAUACCGUGGAGGUCAGUAGAAUAUGUCAUGUAGCGGUGAAAUGCUUAGAUAUGACAUAGAAUACCAAUUGCGAAGGCAGCUGGCUACACGAAUAUUGACACUCAGGCACGAAAGCGUGGGGAUCAAACAGG
rnacentral:rRNA from 1 species